rnacentral:misc_RNA from 1 species
AAAACCGCUCCGCGCGUCAGCCGGCGCAGUGUUGGCGAGCUUGCAUAACCUGUCGCGUCAGUCACGUGCGGUUGGGUCUUUCAUGGGCGUAUUUCGCAAAAAUCGGCACCGGUUUUGCGAACAGAAUACACGCGAGGUUAUACUAUGCGCGAUGAUAUGGGUGGCCGGAUAAAAUCGUCGCGGCCCGGUAAAUCUGUUCCAGCAGCAUGACGCGCACCAUCUGGUGCGGCCAGGUCGCCUUGCCAAACGCAACGCUCAGUUUCACCUUGCGCCGCAAUUCAGGCGAAAGUCCGUCCGCCCCGCCGAUUAGAAAAACAGCGGUUGGA